rnacentral:lncRNA from 1 species
CUGAGCCUCUCUCUGGACCAGGGUUGUGCCAAUAUCUUGUUCGUUGGCCGAGUAGAAGUUUAUGGCAGAGUACUUGCCGGAGUGUGUGGAGCUCAUGUCAUCAUCAUCAGGGUGAAGUACAUCUACACAAGAGGUUAAUAGAAGAGGUAAAUGACUUGAUAAUUAUUAUAAUUGGGUGCUUCUGUGGCAUAAUAAAACUUUAUGUAGUUCUGAUUGAAGGAAAAGUGGUCUGAUGCAGAGUGAUGUAUGGGUGUAAGAAGAAGGCCAUUUACCUGGAAGCCAGUUUUCUUUACGAGACUUUCCCUGUUGGCAAAGGAAACCUUGAUAAGGCCCUAUACCAAGUAAUGACCCUUGUGAGGAGGAAGGGGAGGACAUGUAGUAGAAAGGGUGAUUGUUCUCAUCUUCAUCCUCGUCUCCAUAGUUGUAGUCCUCGGGUGGGACGCCACCAUUCCAACCUGGCACCAGAAUGGAGAUCUCUUGCGCUAUCAUCUCUGCGAUCUCCGUCGGCUUCCGAUCAGUGAUCUCCAGUUCCCUUACCAUCUCAUU